UGGGCUGCCUGAAUGCUGACAUUGAUGCCAA
rnacentral:piRNA from 1 species